UCACCAUGUUUCUGAUUUCAC
rnacentral:siRNA from 1 species